GACGAACGCUGGCGGCGUGCUUAACACAUGCAAGUCGAACGGUGAAGCGCCUUCCUUUUUGGUGGGUGUGGAUGAGUGGCGAACGGGUGAGUAACACGUGAGUAACCUGCCCCCUUCUUCUGGAUAACCGCAUGAAAGUGUGGCUAAUACGGGAUAUUCUGGGUCUGUCGCAUGAUGGGUCUGGGAAAGAUAUUGUUUCGGUGGGGGAUGGGCUCGCGGCCUAUCAGCUUGUUGGUGGGGUGAUGGCCUACCAAGGCGGUGACGGGUAGCCGGCCUGAGAGGGUGGACGGUCACACUUGGACUGAGACACGGCCCAGACUCCUACGGGAGGCAGCAGUGGGGAAUAUUGCACACUGGGCGCAAGCCUGAUGCAGCGACGCCGCGUGAGGGAUGGAGGCCUUCGGGUUGUGAACCUCUUUCGCCAGUGAAGCAGGCCUGCCUCGUUUGUGGGUGGGUUGACGGUAGCUGGAUAAGAAGCGCCGGCUAACUACGUG
rnacentral:rRNA from 1 species